rnacentral:rRNA from 1 species
AGUGAACGCUGGCGGUAGGCCUAACACAUGCAAGUCGAACGGCAGCACAGUAAGAGCUUGCUCUUACGGGUGGCGAGUGGCGGACGGGUGAGGAAUACAUCGGAAUCUACUUUUUCGUGGGGGAUAACGUAGGGAAACUUACGCUAAUACCGCAUACGACCUACGGGUGAAAGCAGGGGAUCUUCGGACCUUGCGCGAUUGAAUGAGCCGAUGUCGGAUUAGCUAGUUGGCGGGGUAAAGGCCCACCAAGGCGACGAUCCGUAGCUGGUCUGAGAGGAUGAUCAGCCACACUGGAACUGAGACACGGUCCAGACUCCUACGGGAGGGAGCAGUGGGGAAUAUUGGACAAUGGGCGCAAGCCUGAUCCAGCCAUACCGCGUGGGUGAAGAAGGCCUUCGGGUUGGAAAGCCCUUUUGUUGGGAAAGAAAAGCAGCAGGUUAAUACCCCGCUGUUCUGACGGUACCCAAAGAAUAAGCACCGGCUAACUUCGUG